rnacentral:rRNA from 1 species
CAAUAGCGUAUAUUUAAGUUGUUGCAGUUAAAAAGCUCGUAGUUGGAUUUCGGGUGGGACGCAGCGGUCUCGCAUUGCGUUUGUACUGCUGCAGCCCUCCUUCUUGCCGGGGGCGGCCUCUCGGACUUCACUGUCUGGGGGUCAGAAUCGGCGAUGUUACUUUGAGUAAAUUAGAGUGUUCAAAGCAAGCUUACGCUCUGAAUAUAAUAGCAUGGGAUAACACGACAGGACUCUGGCCUAUCGUGUUGGUCUAUAGGACCAGAGUAAUGAUUAAGAGGGACAGUCGGGGGCAUUCGUAUUCCGUUGUCAGAGGUGAAAUUCUUGGAUUUACGGAAGACGAACAUCUGCGAAAGCGUUUGCCCAGGAUGUUUNCAUUG